rnacentral:rRNA from 1 species
AGAGUUUGAUCCUGGCUUAGGAUGAACGCUAGCGGCAGGCUUAACACAUGCAAGUCGAGGGGCAUCGGGAGUAGCAAUACUGCCGGCGACCGGCGCAAGGGUGCGUAACGCGUGAGCAACAUGCCCGUAUCAGGGGGAUAAUCCACGGAAACGUGGUCUAAUACCCCAUAGUAAUUAUGUAAGGCAUCUUAUAUAAUUUAAAGCUUUGGUGGAUACGGAUUGGCUCGCGUGACGUUAGCUGGAUGGUAAGGUAACGGCUUACCAUGGCUACGAUGUCUAGGGGUUCUGAGAGGAAGGUCCCCCACACUGGAACUGAGACACGGUCCAGACUCCUACGGGAGGCAGCAGUGAGGAAUAUUGGACAAUGGAUGGAAAUCUGAUCCAGCCAUGCCGCGUGCCAGGAAGACGGCCCUAUGGGUUGUAAACUGCUUUUGUAUGGGAGCAAUAAGGGCUACGUGUAGUCCGAUGAGAGUACCAUACGAAUAAGCACCGGCUAACUCCGUGCCAGCCGCCGC